AACUACAUGAAGGCCCAGACAAUUUGUAAACAAAGAGGCCGCUGUCAUUGUGGGAUCAUUUUCCGUCAGGAAUAACUGAUAAAUCAUCCCAGAAGACCAGUGGAACUAGAUGGUGACAUUCAAGAAGAUAACAUCGUGUAACACAAACAUCGGCGAUGCUAAAGAUGGAAUAUCGAAAGCGAAAGCACGGAAAUCAGUUUUGGAAUAUUUAAAGUAGCCUAUACCCAUUUAACCAGAAAAGGAGCUGUCAAGAGGACGAGUUUACCAAAGGAAGCAAUAGGCUCUGGGGGGCAGUAAAGAGCCAUGAUAAAGGAUCCAACCAUUCUGGAAGGAGAAUUGAAGAGUUUAGAAGAAAAUGCUGAAAAUAACGUGAGUAAACAUUUAAAUGUGACAAUUGUUUGGUGAAGACCUUCAAUGC